UUGAAUAAAAUGUGCUUUAUUAGAAAUGCAAGACAAAUCCUCCUUCAUCCCCCCCCAUACAUUACAAACAAAUCAAAAGAGAGUCAGUAACCAGACUUAAAGGACACCCCACUGCCCAAAUGGCCAAACAAGUAUAAAUCACUGUUUAGUAGAUAUACCACCAAUGAAUAUGUGAUGGUCGUUACCAUCACCAGGAGCUUAAAAUGGACAAUUCAACUAGGUCUCUGGAUGACUCCUAUGUUUAAGUCACUUUACUCCCAACUGGGAAGGAGAGCUGCAGAAGAAUAGGCAACGGGGACUAUUCCUGCCUGGAAGGAGAGAGCUCCAGAGAGACCCCAGUGAAGCUUCAGUGAUAGGUGCUGAAGCGUUCCAGGUUCCAGGAUCCCGGCAAGCGGCUACAAAGCAGACUGGGCGGAGGUACUUGUUCAGAGCACUAGAGUUCUGCUACAGAAUACAUGCAUGAUUUUCUGAAUUGGUGCACUUAUGCUCAUGCUGGCCCGUGCAUGCACUCACGUAUGAUCUGAGGUCAGUGUGGGAGGAGGCAGGCACGCUCAAGUAAUGUGCACCUGCCACUUCCAUUAGCUCACGGUAUGGAAGGAGGCAGAAAACCUUCCAAUCUGUUUGAUUGACAGUCAGUGGGGCGUUCCAUAGUUUAUUCAUAAAAGUGAUGAUUUCUCAUGGAAAUCAGUACUUUCAUAAACUGGGGUUAAAAUAGGAUACUCCUAAUUUAUUAAGUACUUUUGGUUUGUGGAGUGGUCCUUUAAAUGAAAAACAAACAAUUUAUAUAAUUAAAUCUUAUGAAAUGUCAACAUUUUAGUCCAGUACACCUGGCCAUUUCACAAGACAAAUAUAUAUAUAUAUA